GCCGGGCAUGGUGGCGGGUGCCUGUAAUCCCAGCUACUCGGGAGGCUGAGGCAGAAGAAUCGCUUGAACCUGGGAGGUGGAGGUUGCAGUGAGCUGAGAUUGUGCCACUGCACUCCCACCUGGGUGACAAGAGCGAGACUCCGUCUUCC
rnacentral:SRP_RNA from 1 species